CCAAAAGAGCGAGAAAUCGUUUCUUUACUGCCUGCUCGGUGGCCCCCUGGGCCGCUGACUGGUCAACCCUUUUGUGAAACCAAAAAAACCUUUUUCGCUUCGGCAGCUGGGGCCUGACCCGCCUGUCAGCCUGCCGCUAGCACCCAACCAAAAAAACCUGUUGUCAAAAACAUUGUCUGAUAACCAAAAUUUUCGAAUGAAAAUCA
rnacentral:misc_RNA from 1 species